rnacentral:rRNA from 1 species
CAGUAGCCGCGGGAAUACAGAGGAUGCAAGCGUUAUCCGGAAUGAUUGGGCGUAAAGUGUCUGUAGGUGGCUUUUCAAGUCCGCCGUCAAAUCCCAGGGCUCAACCCUGGACAGGUGGUGGAAACUACCAAGCUGGAGUAUGGUAGGGGCAGAGGGAACUUCCGGUGGAGCGGUGAAAUGCAUUGAGAUCGGAAAGAACACCAACGGCGAAAGCACUCUGCUGGGCCGACAUUGACACUGAGAGACGAAAGGUAGGGGAGCAAAUGGGAUUAGAUACCCCGGUAGUCCCUGUCUCUUAUAC